rnacentral:rRNA from 1 species
GAUGAACGCUGGCGGCGUGCCUAAUACAUGCAAGUCGAGCGAACAGACGAGGAGCUUGCUCCUCUGACGUUAGCGGCGGACGGGUGAGUAACACGUGGAUAACCUACCUAUAAGACUGGGAUAACUUCGGGAAACCGGAGCUAAUACCGGAUAAUAUAUUGAACCGCAUGGUUCAAUAGUGAAAGACGGUUUUGCUGUCACUUAUAGAUGGAUCCGCGCCGCAUUAGCUAGUUGGUAAGGUAACGGCUUACCGAGGCAACGAUGCGUAGCCGACCUGAGAGGGUGAUCGGCCACACUGGAACUGAGACACGGUCCAGACUCCUACGGGAGGCAGCAGUAGGGAAUCUUCCGCAAUGGGCGAAAGCUUGACGGAGCAACGCCGCGUGAGUGAUGAAGGUCUUCGGAUCGUAAAACUCUGUUAUUAGGGAAGAACAAAUGUGUAAGUAACUAUGCACGUCUUGACGGUACCUAAUCAGAAAGCCACGGCUAACUACGUG